GCCAUAUUACAUUGAGCUACCAGAAUUUUCGGGUCACUGAUAUCCCUGGUAUCGUGAGGAGGCAUGAUGGUAUGACUCAGGCCUUUAUGUUUAAUAUAGGUAUCACUGCUCUUGAAGGACAGUUUCAUCGAAUCUUUCCCCUAUCGAGAUAAACCUUUUAUGAAGGUAUGUUUCUAAUGCUCAGUGUUAUAUAUUAACGGUUCUUUUUCUGUCUUGUGAACUAAGAUCAUUGUCCAUUCGAUUCAUAUUUGACUUUGUUUCC